CCUACGGGAGGCAGCAGUGAGGAAUAUUGGUCAAUGGACGAGAGUCUGAACCAGCCAAGUAGCGUGAAGGAUGACUGCCCUACGGGUUGUAAACUUCUUUUAUAAAGGAAUAAAGUGAGGCACGUGUGCCUUUUUGUAUGUACUUUAUGAAUAAGGAUCGGCUAACUCCGUGCCCGAAGCCGCGGUAAUACUGAGGAUCCGAGCGUUAUCCGGAUUUAUUGGGUUGAAAGGGAGCGUAGAUGGAUUGUUACUUCAGUGGUGAAAGUGGCCGGCUCAACCUUAAAAUUGCAAUUGAUACUGGUAGCAUUGAGUACAGGUGAGGUAAGCGGAAUUCGUGGUGUAGCGGUGAAAUGCUUAGAUAUCACGAAGAACGCCGAUUGCGAAGGCAGCCUACUAAACUGCCACUGACAUUGAUGCUCGAAAGUGUGGGUAUCAAACAGGAUUAGAUACCCUUGUAGUC
rnacentral:rRNA from 1 species